ensembl:lncRNA novel transcript
GCUCAUUGUCCACCAGAGAUCAGGCCCAGGGAACACUCUGUUGGAGGCAAAUAAUCAGAGACGGUGUAUUCAGGCGGUUCCUUGGUACCAACCUUUAGGUCAGGUGAUCGUGAAUAUUUUAAAAGUAAUUCACAGACAACAUGGCAAGCCACUGACCAUUUAUCAUUGUUGGCAGAAAAAUCGGAGAUCUGUACGUUUGGAAAGGAGACUUUAUUUCAUAUAUUUUUCAUUUUAUUUUUCUAUUUUUAUUUUUUUUUAGAGACCGGUUCUUGCUCUGUCUCCCAGGUUUGAGUGAAGUGGCUACUCACAGACCACUGAGGCGUGGUAUUCUCCCCACCGAGCUGUGAAACCCUAAGAAGAAGGGAGCUGAACCAGUGAUUGUGAAACAGCAUCAUUCAUCUGGGCUCCUGUGUCAGUUGGUCUGGGGUCCACAGAUACCUUAAGGACCCAGGGAUGGAGGAGAAGACGUGCCCUCAGCCCACUUUCAGUUGAGCACCUCCACUGAUUGUCCACAGGGUCAGUGGCUCCGACCCCAUCUGAGUCAGCAACACCAGAGUCACAGAAGAAAAGGAUGUUGUGAUCCUGACCUGCCCCACAGAUGACUCUGGAACCUUAUCCAGUGGAUCUUCCAUGACCAGCGUCUGUGACUCAUGGAGAGAAUGGAGCUGUCCCAGGGCCACUGUAUGCUCAGCAUAAACCCCAUCAGGAGAGAGGAUGCUGGGGAGUAUCAGUGUGAGGCCUCCACCCAGGUCAGCUCCAGGAAAAAUGACCCUCUCAGACUGACUGUGAAACAGGAAACAUCUGAGUCCCCUCUUAGAAGUUAUUAAACCCUAAAUCAAAUAUUCUUUGUUUGGAGGCAUUUUAUUAUAAAAACUUGAUAUUCAUAUACAUAAACUAAUAUGAAGUUAAAAAUUCAUUAUACACCUACUGUUUUUAGCUUGAUCUUGCAGUAAAUCUUUAGCUUCAUUGAUUGUGGCUACUAUAUAAGGAGACCCUCUUUUGUCUGCGUGAUUUAAGAGCAUAACAUGUUAAUGAGCAUCUCUUAUUUUUUUCUUUAUUGGCAGUAGGGCUUACCCUACUAUUACUAGUGUUCAUUCAUUAUCUAGUAUUAAUGCUGCUUCCCGUUUUGUCAUUUUGGGUUCAUAUCCACCUCUGUAGUAAUAAUCUCUGAAGGCAGAUUUUGGUAGACUUUGAAACACUUGUUCUACUUGAGGUUUUAUGUGCUUCAUGGCUUCGCAAAAUGUAACAGCUUGCAAAUCCUGCAGCAGCGGUCAGUUCAGCUGCUACCACUGCACAGGCCAUGGCUCCAGCUUGGCUCCCCUGCCACCACCAGGAGGGUGGAUCAUCCCAGCCCAGAGGCCGCACCCACCACCUACUUGGCUUUACCAGAGAGCAAUGCAGCAGCCACCACAGUAGUCACAAACUGCCCAAGCACCUUUUUCCUCUUUAAAGUGGUGGUGAUGAUGCAUUUACUUUAUCGAGCUAUUGUGAAUAGUCAAUGAAAUCAGGUGACUUGCAUUGAAUCAAUAAAAAUGAAACACCUUGGAA